ACCCAGACAGAGGAUGAUGAUGAUGAUGAUGAUGUCAUACAAUUGGAUGAUGACUCCAACGACCGACCAAUGGAAUCGCAAGUUGAGGUACCGGCGACUCAGCCCCCUCCCUCCUCCACCCCAUCAGUCCUGUUUGGCCAGAGAGUCCCAUUCUCUGUAGAGAGACAAACCUCUUUGAACAGACAAUUGGCACCUUUUAUUCUUGGUGGUCAGACUGGAACGUUUGAGGAGGGUGAGGAUGGCAUUGUCCCCAGCACCCCUACACUGUUUGUCCCUAACCGAGGAGAUGGGUACGCCGAGGUGGUCAGCUCACCAAGAAUUUCCAAUCAGCGGUUUACAUUUGGAGCACUCAGUGAGUCCUCAUUAGCCCAGCCAGAACUUGGAGAGCUAGCUUCCCAAGGAGCCUUGGGUGGCAUGGAGAGUACCAGUAUGGACUUGUCCCAGCUAGAUGAGGGAACAGGUCGCAGUGUGCCCAGCACCCCUCUCAGGACGACUGCUCCAGUCACCAUCAGUGAGGCAGCCAUAGCAUCGGCCCUCAAUCCCCAGACAACCACUGCCAGCUCUGCUGGAGACCCGAUAGAACUAACCCCAGCACAGGCGGAGACAGAGGGGGUGGAGGGUCAGGAAGAGGGGGUGAUAGAGGAAGGAGGAAACCACAGAACAAGAAAAAGAUAGUGCAAGUGCACCAAAGGAAGAGGAAGCUAGCACCUCCCAGGACAAGACAGAGAACACUGAGAAGCCCAAGAUCCAGCCCAUUGUAUGGGAGGGGUCCUCUCCCUCUACCACCCAACAGCCACGGCCACGCCCCAUCAACACAAGGGGGACCGCACCGAGGGGCCAGCUACAGAAUAGGGGCACCCGAGGGGGAACUUUCCAAAGAGCACGAGGUCAAAUGCAAAGAGGCAGAGGUGCUAGUAGGGGUGCCAGAGGGGGUGCUUACAGAUCCCCAAAUAUGUAUUGAUGAUCAAUGGGCCAUAUAAGUGACUUGUUCUUGGUCUUAGGAGAAUUUUCCUAUGAUAAAUGUUCUUUGAUUAGUUGGACAAUAUGAUUGUUAAAGAAUUUGGAAGGUCACAAACUGAAUUCUCUGUUGUUUUUGUGGAUACAUUAAAAAUAGUGAAAGUUAUGGAACUCAAAUUCAUUGAAUCAUGCCAUACAUUGUUAAUGACUGCAGUGAAGAAUACUGGAAGCUUUCAUGGAAAAGAAAUGUGUACGGUUUACGAGUAGAGAAUUGUUGGAAGUCUGCAUACAUGAAUGUUAGAAUAUAUAUAUGUGUUCAGUGCAAAUGUUGGUGCCUGUAUCGUAUUUGAUGUAUACUGAAUGGUGUUAUUAAUAAAUUUUAAGUGCUGU
rnacentral:sRNA from 1 species